UUACGGCCAAAUCACAUUGAAAAACCGGUUCUCGUACGAUCACCGAAGUUAAGCAACGUCGAGCUUGAUCAGUAACUAGAUGGAUGACCGCUUAGGAAGAACAGGUGCUGCAG